GUGUAGUUCAGUAAUAGAAUGCCUGCCUAAAAUGCAUGGGGCUUUGGGUUCAAUCCCCAGCAC
rnacentral:tRNA from 1 species